CUGCAUGGAGCAUAGAGAACAGGAGAACGAUCGCUACGUACUAAAGCAUAGCCCGCCUGUCCCAAAAACUUGUAUCAGCCACCAGUCUGCGCUGCCGACGGUAAGUUGCCUCUGUGAAGUUAGCUGUUUAUGACAUGUGCUUAUGAGUACAAGUAAAUGAAGUUAGUUGAAUAAUGUAUUUUGUAAACAAUGUUUACAAAUUUUCUUCGCGGCAUUGGUGAGAAAAUAAUCGUGCUCCGUAAUUUUUUAAUUUUUGACCAAAGAAACAUUAAAAAAUGGUGAAAUAUUGUAUUGUGCGUGGAUGUAAAAGAGGUUUAGCAUCUGAUCGCUAAAAUAGAAUGAAUUACUGAAAAACAAUUUGCGUCAAUCAUCUUUAUUCAAAGUACCAAACUACCAAAGAAUAACGUAUUGAGGGAUAAUGGGUAAAAGCUUUAUCACAACAAUUGACUCCAAAUCAGUUUAUCUGUGAGAAGCACUUUCCGAAGAAGAUAUUAAGAAAGGUGAUCGAUUGAUUAUUAAUCGAGCUGAAAUUAUCAUCCCUCGCGAAAGCAAGUUCCAAUAGUGCAAAAUGACAUUAAUAACUGACCAAUCGAAAACCUGGAUUAUACACAACCUUCGUUAAAAAUCAUUCAAGGUAACAAUUUAAAAGAAGAUUCUCAACCAGCAAGACCCCGUCAUAUGGAAUCACCAGAGAUUGUAACAGCUAAUAAUGUAAAAGAAUUAGAUAUUAUUAUGUUUAUCAUAUUGUUAUAGAUUUGCGAGAUUUUAAUAUAUUUUUUUUUGUACAUAAAUUUCAACAUUAGGUCAUUAUCUCGAACAUGUCUCCACCAUCAUGUGUUACACUAGAAGAGAUCCAUGCUCAUUUUCACUCAAUACUGAUCCAAGGAUGGUGUUAUUUUGCUUGUGAUGAAGAGUUGAUAUUUAGUCAUAUCAAUAUUCGCACCCGAAAAGAAGAUAUGAAUUUUACUAUUGCCAAUAAUCUUUCAGUGAAGGUAAAUAAUUUUCUCAUGCUUUUUUGAAUAAUUUUAUAUAUUCAUAAUGCAUAAAGAGCAUUUUAUUAUAAUUUAUUAAGUUUUGCUCACAUAAUCAUUUCUGAUACAACAGGUUUCUUUCUCUCAAUGACCAGAAAUUGUUAUUGAUGAUACUAUAUCAUCUAUAGAAGAUAUAAAAAUGUAUAUGGAAACUCUGCAAGCCACUAUCUUAUGUGAAGGAACUGACAUACACUAUAGGUACGAUAUAUUUUCUUUAAUUUCUUUUAAUAUAAAUAAAAAUCUCAUACUAUUACACAUUAGGUGAAAAUUGAAAAUAAACUUAAAGAUUCACCUAAAUCGAGGCUCCAUCUAGAACUGUGACACCUGAAGUAAAAACAAGCAUCAAGUACAUCUUUUAGUAGUAGUGUGAAAAGAAAGAGAGUAUCUACAUUACCUUUGAAAAAUUCCAAAUCACCUUGUAAGUCAAUAGAUAUGUUUUUUAGGUAGCAGAUUUUUUUUUUUAAUUAUCUAAGUGUAUGCAAAUGAACUUAUAAAUAAUGUAAAUACAUUUAUAAAGCAAUUUUAUGAAAUAAAAAAAUAUGAUAUUUUAAUUGUUUUUUAU
rnacentral:misc_RNA from 1 species